CCUACGGGAGGCAGCAGUGGGGAAUAUUGCGCAAUGGGCGAAAGCCUGACGCAGCGACGCCGCGUGAGGGAUGAAGGUCUUCGGAUCGUAAACCUCUGUCAGCAGGGAAGAACGGUCACUGUGUUAAUCAGCAGUGAAUUGACGGUACCUGCAAAGGAAGCACCGGCUAACUCCGUGCCAGCAGCCGCGGUAAUACGGGGGGUGCGAGCGUUAAUCGGAAUUACUGGGUGUAAAGCGCGCGUAGGCGGUAUGUCAAGUCAAGGGUGAAAUCCCCGCGCUCAACGUGGGAACUGCAUUUGAAACUAGCAAACUGGAGUGUGUGAGAGGAUAGUGGAAUUCCGGGUGUAGGAGUGAAAUGCGUAGAUAUCAGGAGGAACAUCAGUGGCGAAGGCGACUAUCUGGCACAUAACUGACGCUGAGGAGCGAAAGCGUGGGUAGCAAACAGGAUUAGAUACCCGUGUAGUC
rnacentral:rRNA from 1 species